GAGAUUGUGGGUGCUCCUGCCCCACAUGCUUAUUGACACCAUCAGCCUCUGUGUGGUCAGCACCAGUGUCAGGGGCAGGUGGUGAAGUCACAGUGACUCAAUACUUCACUCUUGCCUGUGUCCAGAACAGAGUUCUUGUUCCUUCUGCAGUCUGGUCCCUGCUGGCUCACGGUCCCAGGCAGGUGGCAGGCAGCCUGCCUCACCACUCACCCUAGUCCCUGGACUCUUUGACACCCAAAAGCAACAGCAGCAGCAAGGAAAGGCCAGAGGAGGGCAGGAGGCACAGCCUGGAUCAGCAGUGCUGGACAGUUAGAGGCCACUCCUGUGUCAAGUGACCGGCUGAGCUGGAGUUUGUUUUCUAGGCAGCAAGCAAGUUCAGGACACGGGGAUGGAUUCAGGUCCAG